GGCAGCCUACGGGACGCAGCAGUGGGGAAUAUUGCGCAAUGGGCGAAAGCCUGACGCAGCGACGCCGCGUGAGGGAUGAGGGUCUUCGGAUCGUAAACCUCUGUCAGCAGGGAAGAACGGUCACUGUGCUAAUCAGCAGUGAAUUGACGGUACCUGCAAAGGAAGCUCCGGCUAACUCCGUGCCAGCAGCCGCGGUAAUACGGAGGGUGCGAGCGUUAAUCGGAAUUACUGGGCGUAAAGCGCUCGUAGGCGGUAUGUCAAGUCAAGGGUGAAAUCCCCGCGCUCAACGUGGGAACUGCCUUUUA
rnacentral:rRNA from 1 species